rnacentral:misc_RNA from 1 species
UACGUAGGUGGCAAGCGUUGUUCGGAAUCACUGGGCGUAAAGCGCACGUAGGCGGACUUUUAAGUCAGGGGUGAAAUCCCGGGGCUCAACCCCGGAACUGCCUUUGAUACUGGAAGUCUUGAGUCCGAGAGAGGUGAGUGGAAUUCCGAGUGUAGAGGUGAAAUUCGUGGGUAUUCGGAAGAACACCAGUGGCGAAGGCGGCUCACUGGCUCGGUACUGACGCUGAGGUGCGAAAGCGUGGGGAGCAAACAGG